rnacentral:rRNA from 1 species
ACGAACGCUGGCGGCGUGCUUAACACAUGCAAGUCGAACGGAAAGGCCCUGCUUUUGUGGGGUGCUCGAGUGGCGAACGGGUGAGUAACACGUGAGUAACCUGCCCUUGGCUUUGGGAUAACUUCAGGAAACUGGGGCUAAUACCGGAUAGGAGCUCCUGCUGCAUGGUGGGGGUUGGAAAGUUUCGGCGGUUGGGGAUGGACUCGCGGCUUAUCAGCUUGUUGGUGGGGUAGUGGCUUACCAAGGCUUUGGCGGGUAGCCGGCCUGAGAGGGUGACCGGCCACAUUGGGACUGAGAUACGGCCCAGACUCCUACGGGAGGCAGAAGUGGGGAAUAUUGCACAAUGGGCGGAAGCCUGAUGCAGCAACGCCGCGUGCGGGAUGACGGCCUUCGGGUUGUAAACCGCUUUCGCCUGUGACGAAGCGUGAGUGACGGUAAUGGGUAAAGAAGCACCGGCUAACUACGUG